AUUGAACGCUGGCGGCAGGCUUAACACAUGCAAGUCGAGCGAAGCGGGGACGGGUGAGUAACACGUGGAUAACCUCCUAUAAGACGGGGAUAAAUUCGGGAAACCGGAGCUAAACCGGAUACCUAUAGAUGGAGCUGCUCUGCAUUAGCUAGUUGGUAAGGUAACGGCUUACCAAGGCAACGAUGCAUAGCAGACCUGAAAGGGUGAUCGGCCACACUGGAACUGCGACCCGGUCCAGAUGCCUGCGGGAGUCAGCAGUAGGGAAUCUUCCGCAAUGGGCGAAAGCCUGACGGAGCAACGCCGCGUGAGUGAUGAAGGUCUUCGUAUCGUAAAACUCUUUUAUUAGGGAAGCGGUACCUAAUCAGAAAGCCACGGCUAACUACGUGCCAGCAGCCGCGGUAAUAC
rnacentral:rRNA from 1 species